GAUUUCAAUUGAAAAAGUCAUCAACAACAAAGUUGAAUAACUCAUCAAGAUCUAAAACUUUUAUUUUUGUUAUUUCUUCAUCUGACGAAAUGUUAGUAAUAUUAUUCACAAAUUUUACAUAUAUGUGUUAUAGUUUAUAAAACCAGAUAAGAGAUAUGUCAAUUUUGUGAACAAUGUUACUAUCACUUUGUCGUAUGAAGAAAUGACCAAAAUAAAAGUUUUAGAUCUUGAUGAGUUAUUCAACUUUGUUGUUGAUGACUUUUUCAAUUGAAAUC
rnacentral:pre_miRNA from 1 species